CUCGCCAUUCUGGUCUGCUUACAAUCGGUUUCCUUAGGUAUGACUGAUGUUGUUUCUGUAUGGCCGGGAGUAGAAAAGAUAACUAUUAAGGAAGUAAUUUUGAUAGAUGACCCUGGAGUUGAUAAUGCUAAUGUUGCAGCUCCAGAACGUACGAGUACUCUGCCUCCAGUAAGUUACAUGUACGGUCAAAUAUCUGUCACAAUCACAGAUAUGUUUUGCAGUGCAUGUGGAAGAAUCCAUUCUGAGCAAAGACGGAUUUUGUGUGAACGGAGAUUCUGCUUACGUUUUAAUAGUUGACGGGCUUCGCCGCCUAGUUUUCGGAGGUAUCUAAAGAACAUGGACAAAACAGCUAGAAAGUAGACUAAAGGAGGCGAAGUUUCUUAUCAAAACUAUUCAAAGUGGAAAUAUAGUGGACAUUUCUUUAAUUUGAAAUCUGAAUCCUGUGUUUGUACCUUUACUUGUGGAAAGCUUAUAAUAUUAUUGUGAUAUCGUUUGAAGUGAAUUUAAGAUAUGUCUUCAAAUACCAAUAGUUACUGACCUUUUUCAAAUGCAUAUAGGAGUUCCAACAAAUAGAUAUUAUAUAAAAGUUUUGUCAAAUGGGACGAUUUUCAAUAACUGGAUAUUGUUUCUUUCAUCUUGAAGAUGACUGGUUUUAACAUUGAUACUUUUUUAUCCUUUUGUGAAAAAAGCCUAAGAAGAAGUUUUUAUUUUUAUCAUAUUUGAAAACAUAACGAAUCUGAAUUCCCCCCCAAAAAGUCAAAAUUCCUCGAUAUUUCCCAUAUCUUUAUCUCAUAUGCUUCACAUUUCGUAGAGAUAUAGAAUCACUUGAUUAUACUUUCUGAAACAUUGAUGCAAAAUAUGAAGAAAGUCAAGAGCAAAAAAUAUUCCUGAUUGUCAUUAUCCGCUCUCAUAUAUGGACUGCUGGUGUACUAUUCACAAUAUCAAAGUAUCGGGGUUGAAACUAGAUUCCAAAUUCUUCCAGAUAUAGUAUAUUUAAAACUCUACAGGGUUGACUUUCACACGUGUUACAUUAUAAACGGUAAUACUAAGAUCUGCAAUUUAGGAACUUCGUUAGUAUUUUCGUCUUCCGGUUAUCUUUCAAAGCACACUUUUCAAUCACAAUGAAAAACAUCUUCUAUGAGUUUUUACCCGGUACUCCGAAUUUGUUUCCUUUUUAAAAAAGAAUAUUCGUCUACUAUAAGCAUUAUUUCGUGAAAAUUGAAUUUACUUACAAAUUUUUUAUGAUGAAUUGCUAAAAUCAAAAAUUUUAUUUAAUUCUAUUUUGUUUUUCUUUACCACUUAUAAAAUCUCUCAAAUUGAUGCUUUUGUAAAAUAUUACAUUAAAAUUAAGUUAAAAAUGCUCGCUACUCGUUUACAACGUAUUAGUUACUUCUACUUGUUUAAUUGUCAAAAGAACAAAAACAAGAAUCAAACAUUCACACUUGAGCAAAAGUUGCAUUAGUCAAUCCACUUUGGAAUACAUGUACUUAACUCCGGAAAACCCUUUCGGAUUAACUACACUAUAAUAUGUGGUAUUUCGACAUGUUUAUAACAUAAUUCUCGUAAAUAUUCUCCAUUUAUUUGCAUAGUUCAAAUCAUUUUGUGCAGUAGUUCUCAAAUACAAAUGGCAUUCUCUUUGGUUUUUGCAAUUUUAUUGACGACAUAUUUUGCACCUGUUAGCACAGACAAAGCUAUAUUCCUCGAGGAAGUAUUAAUUAAAGAGGAGAUUCUAAUCGGUUUCUACAAUAUACCCGCAAGGAUGUCAAACGCUGUCAUUUUAGCAGGGGUUCUACCAAUGUCCGUUGUGAUUACUGACAUGUUUUGUAGAUCAUGCAACUCAAUGCAAUAUGAACGGCGGAUCAAAUGCGAGCGGAAAUUUUGUGUAAACUUUAAUAAAAGAUAACACUUUGAUAGUACUAUGAGAAUUGGCCAUGUGCCAAGUAGUGCAAGGAAUGAUGCUGCUUUAUCUUUCUUUUAUUUAAUUUUGGUGUUCCAUAUAGAGAAAUAAAUAAUUAACAAGC